rnacentral:rRNA from 14 species
GUGAGAUGUUGGGUUAAGUCCCGCAACGAGCGCAACCCUUGUCAUUAGUUGCUACGAAAGGGCACUCUAAUGAGACUGCCGGUGACAAACCGGAGGAAGGUGGGGAUGACGUCAGGUCAUCAUGGCCCUUAUGGGUAGGGCUACACACGUCAUACAAUGGCCGGGACAGAGGGCUGCCAACCCGCGAGGGGGAGCUAAUCCCAGAAACCCGGUCGUAGUCCGGAUCGUAGUCUGCAACUCGACUGCGUGAAGUCGGAAUCGCUAGUAAUCGCGAAUCAGAAUGUCGCGGUGAAUACGUUCCCGGGCCUUGUACACACCGCCCGUCACACCAUGGGAGUUGGGUUCACCCGAAGGCCGUGCGCCAACCUUUCGAGGGGGCAGCGGACCACGGUGAGCUCAGCGACUGGGGUGAAGUCGGAACAAGGUAGCCGUAGGGGAACCUGCGGCUGGAUCACCUCCUU